rnacentral:rRNA from 1 species
GACGAACGCUGGCGGCGUGCUUAACACAUGCAAGUCGAACGGAAAGGCCCUGCUUUUGUGGGGUGCUCGAGUGGCGAACGGGUGAGUAACACGUGAGUAACCUGCCCUUGACUUUGGGAUAACUUCAGGAAACGGGGGCUAAUACCGGAUAGGAGCUCCUGCUGCAUGGUGGGGGUUGGAAAGUUUCGGCGGUUGGGGAUGGAAUCCCGGCUUAUCAGCUUGUUGGUGGGGUAGUGGCUUACAAAGGCUUUGACGGGUAGCCGGCCUGAGAGGGUGACCGGCCACAUUGGGACGGAGAUACGGCCCAGACUGCUACGGUAGACAGACGUGGGGAAUAUUGCACAAUGGGCGGAAGCCUGAUGCAGCAACGCCGCGUCCGGGAUGACUGCCUUCGGGUUGUCACACGCUUUCGCCUGUGACGAAGCGUGUGUGCCGGUAAUGGGUAGAGAAGCACCGGCUAACUACGUG